CAAUAAGCUUUCAAGGGCAAAUGGUGGAUGCCUUGGGUGAUAGAGGCGAUGAAGGACGUACUAGACUGCGAUAAGCUAUGGGGAGCUGUCAAGAAGCUUUGAUCCAUAGAUUUCCGAAUGGGGCAACCCAAUGCGUAGCAAUACGCAUUACCAUAAUAGGAGCGAACCUAGCGAAGUGAAACAUCUCAGUAGCUAGAGGAAAAGAAAUCGUAAUGAGAUUCUCUUAGUAGCGGCGAGCGAACGGGGAAGAGGGCAAACCGAAUGCUUGCAUUCGGGGUUGAGGACUGCAAUAUCCACUUAGAAAUUCUAGCAGAAGGAUUUGGAAAAUUCCGCUAUAAAGGGUGAUAGCCCCGUAUGCGAAAGGAUUUUUAUAGGUAGCAGUAUCCAGAGUAGGUCAGGACACGUGAAAUCCGGACUGAAGCAGGGGAGACCACUCUCCAACCCUAAAUACUCCUAUCACACCGAUAGCGAACAAGUACCGUGAGGGAAAGGUGAAAAGAACCGCAGUGAGCGGAGUGAAAUAGAACCUGAAACCAUUUGCCUACAAUCAUUCAGAGCCCUAUGAUUUAUCAGGGUGAUGGACUGCCUUUUGCAUAAUGAUCCUGCGAGUUGUGGUAUCUGGCAAGGUUAAGCAAACGCGAAGCCGUAGCGAAAGCGAGUCUGAAAGGGCGCAGGCUCCUCUUUUAUAGUUAUUUUGGAUUCUUUUAUCGUAAAGAUAGAAUCUUAAAGUCUUAAGAAACUUAAGAGAGUGUAGAAGGAUUCUAAAUUUUUAGAAUCUAACACGCACACAAGAAAUUCUAGGAUUGUGCGUAAGAUUUGUGGGUUGCGCAGAAAAAAUCGAUGCGUAGCAUACUCCUUGUAUGUAAGCAAGAUUUUUUCAAGCUCCCGUAAAGAUUGCGUGCAAGCCGAAUUUCUAGCCAAUAGUAACUAUAAAUGAGGAGCCUAAAGUCAGAUGCUGCAGACCCGAAGCGAAGUGAUCUAUCCAUGGCCAAGUUGAAAGUGGGGUAACACCCACCGGAGGACUGAACUCGUGCCCAUUGAAACGGGCUGGGAUGAGCUGUGGAUAGGGGUGAAAGGCCAAACAAACUUCGUGAUAGCUGGUUCUCUUCGAAAUAUAUUUAGGUAUAGCCUCAAGUGAUAGCAAUAGGGGGUAGAGCUCUGAUUGGGCUAGGGCUGCUCACCGCGGUACCAACCCCUGUCAAACUGCGAAUACCUAUUGCCCUAUCUUGGGAGUCAGGCGGUGGGUGAUAAAAUCAAUCGUCAAGAGGGAAACAACCCAGACUACCAACUAAGGUCCCAAAGUUCUAUUCUAAGUGGAAAAUGAUGUGAAGUUACUCAGACAACCAGGAGGUUGGCUUAGAAGCAGCCAUCCUUUAAAGAAAGCGUAACAGCUCACUGGUCUAGUGAUUUUGCGCAGAAAAUAUAACGGGGCUAAGAUAGACACCGAAGUUGUAGAUUAUGCUGAUGCAUAGUGGUAGAAGAGCGUUCUAUAUGCGCUGAAGGUAUAUCGGCAAGAAGUGCUGGAGCGUAUAGAAGUGAGCAUGCAGGAAUGAGUAGCGAUAAAAGUGGUGAGAAUCCACUUCGCCGAAAGUCUAAGGUUUCCUACGCGAUGCUCGUCAUCGUAGGGUUAGUCGGGUCCUAAGCCAAGUCCGAAAGGGGUAGGCGAUGGGAAAUAGGUUAAUAUUCCUAUACCAACCAUUGUGCGCGAUGGGGGGACGCAUAGGGCUAAGCGAUGUUAGCGGAUGGAAGUGCUAACUUAAGAGUGUAAAUUGAGGGAUAGGCAAAUCCGCCCUUGUAUUUGAAACUCCAAUAGCUUCUUGCGGUCUUCGGACCAAGGGGAGUAUCGCUGAUGCCGUCGUGCCAAGAAAAGCCUCUAAGUUUAACAAUGGUUGCCCGUACCGCAAACCGACACAGGUAGAUGAGAUGAGUAUUCUAAGGCGCGUGAAAGAACUCUGGUUAAGGAACUCUGCAAACUAGCACCGUAAGUUCGCGAUAAGGUGUGCCUACGCAAGUAGGUCUCAGCAAAGAGUCCCUCCCGACUGUUUACCAAAAACACAGCACUUUGCAAACUCGUAAGAGGAAGUAUAAGGUGUGACGCCUGCCCGGUGCUCGAAGGUUAAGAGGAUUCGUUAGAGGCAACUCAAAGCGUUGAAUUGAAGCCCGAGUAAACGGCGGCCGUAACUAUAACGGUCCUAAGGUAGCGAAAUUCCUUGUCGGUUAAAUACCGACCUGCAUGAAUGGCGUAACGAGAUGGGAGCUGUCUCAACCAGGGAUUCAGUGAAAUUGUAGUGGAGGUGAAAAUUCCUCCUACCCGCGGCAAGACGGAAAGACCCCGUGGACCUUUACUACAGCUUGGCACUGCCGAUGGGAAUAUUAUGCGCAGGAUAGGUGGGAGGCUUUGAAAUCUUCACUCCGGUGGAGAUGGAGCCACCCUUGAGAUACCACCCUUAAUGUUUCUGUCUGCUAACUGGCUAGAGUUAUCCUCUAGCAGGACAAUGUCUGGUGGGUAGUUUGACUGGGGCGGUCGCCUCCUAAAAAGUAACGGAGGCUUGCAAAGGUUGGCUCAUUGCGGUUGGAAAUCGCAAGUAGAGUGUAAUGGCAUAAGCCAGCCUGACUGUAAGACAAACAAGUCGAGCAGAGACGAAAGUCGGUCAUAGUGAUCCGGUGAUUCUGUGUGGAAGGGUCAUCGCUCAAAGGAUAAAAGGUACCCCGGGGAUAACAGGCUGAUCUCCCCCAAGAGCUCACAUCGACGGGGAGGUUUGGCACCUCGAUGUCGGCUCAUCGCAUCCUGGGGCUGGAGCAGGUCCCAAGGGUAUGGCUGUUCGCCAUUUAAAGCGGUACGCGAGCUGGGUUCAGAACGUCGUGAGACAGUUCGGUCGCUAUCUGCCGUGGGCGUAGGAGAGUUGAGGAGAGCUGUCCCUAGUACGAGAGGACCGGGAUGGACAUGCCACUGGUGUAUCAGUUGUCCUGCCAAGGGCAUCGCUGGGUAGCUACGCAUGGAUGUGAUAACCGCUGAAAGCAUCUAAGCGGGAAGCCAACUCCAAGAUGAACUCUCCCUGAAGGUCGCAGCAAGACUAGCUGCUUGAUAGGGUAGAUGUGUAAGCAUAGUAAUGUGUUUAGCUGACUACUACUAAUAGACCGCUUGGCUUAUUGUU
rfam:Helicobacter fennelliae MRY12-0050 DNA, contig: MRY12-0050_Contig_3.